rnacentral:rRNA from 1 species
UACGGGGGGAGCAAGCGUUGUUCGGAUUUACUGGGCGUAAAGGGCGCGUAGGCGGCGUAACAAGUCACUUGUGAAAUCUAUGGGCUCAACCCAUAGUCUGCAUUGGAAACUGUCGGGCUUGAGUAUGGGAGAGGUGAGUGGAAUUUCCGGUGUAGCGGUGAAAUGCGUAGAUAUCGGAAGGAACACCUGUGGCGAAAGCGGCUCACUGGACCAUUACUGACGCUGAUGCACGAAAGCUAGGGGAGCAAACAGG